GUUUGAACCCGUGGAGAACUGCGGGGCACGGUUCUCCUCUGCUUCUCAGCCACGCCGUCCCGCCAUGCGUUCUUCACCCACAUUUGUCGGUUGCUGCCUCCCUCCCUCCAGCUGUCAGCUGUCCCUCUCUCUUCCUUCUUCUCCCUUCCUCCCUCUCCAUGUGUACGGCUUGGACCUUAACCCUCUUUUUCUCUCAAAGACCUGAAAUGUGGGGGUCCUAGAGGGCCCCUCUUCAGAGCCACACUUACAGCCAGCCAGUUGCAAAGAGGGCAGGUAGAUUCCACACCAUCUUCCACAGCCCGCUGCCUGCCACUCUCUGCAGCUCAAAUUUCAGGGGCUCCUGCAGCUGAGACAUGGACCCUACUUUACGCCAAGCAGAGGGCCGUGGGGUUCCCUCGUGUGACUGUGAGGUUUGCUGGAGACUGCGAGCCUGCCAGUGUGGCCUCUGCCCUGCCUGGUGCCCAUCCUGUCUCCGAUCCACCUGCACGCCGCAUCCUGGAUCCUCAUCUCCCGCACCCAUGGAUUUCAGCAUCCAGUGUUUCUUGGCGUUCCCUCUCACAGGCCCAGUUCCUCAUGGACGUGAGACCUUCCCACCCAGCGUCUCCCCGAACACGGCCGGUAGUGUUCAGCCUUUCACCACUCCUUCUCUGCCACUCGACUUCUUGCCAGCUGGUGUCCAGUUACAUUUUGGCAAAGGUGGUCACCGGGCAGACCUGGAGAGAGGGAAGACAUGGAAGCCCUCUCUGCCCUCUGCAGUGGCAUCGUGAGACGUGGUCUCUGAAUAACAGAAGAUCUUCUUCAGAAACCUCAAGCUCCGAUGAUGCCUUCAGACCCAUGAAGAUGGAGUGUGAAAUUCCAUGAAUAUCGAGUCUAUUUUCUGGACCCCAGAGGCUUCAAUGGAAAAUUGAAGAAUAUGAAUGAAUAUAGCAAAUUUCAGCAGAGAGAUCGAAAGGACCACAGAGGAUGAAAUGAUGAAAUGCUCAUGCAAGAGAAAAAUCUCAACAAAGGAGCUACAGAAUGCUUUCCCCAGACUGUCUGUCUGACACCAGAUUUGACAACACUUUGUAAAUAACCAGGAGCCACAGUAGAAAUAUUCUAGGGAAUGGGAAUCACUGUCUCCUGAGGUAACAAAGAAAUAUAGAAAGCCAACAAAAUGUUUAGAAUUAUAAUCAUGAUAAUAAUGAUAGCUAGCAUUUAUUGAGUACUUGCUGUGUUCCAGCCAGGCUUGGUACUAACCUCUGUAUAUUUAGUAACUCAUCCAUUGGCUCUAUGUGACAUGUCCUACAAUCAGUCCAAGAGUAGGAAACUGACGGUGACAGAGAUGAAAAGACUUUUUUUUUUUUUUUUGAGAUGGAUUCUUUGUCACCCAGGCUGGGGUACAGUGGCAUGAUCUUGGCUCACUGCAACCUCUGCUUCCCGGGUUCAAGCAAUUCUUCUGCCUCAGCCUCCCCAGUAGCUGGGCUUAUAAGCACUUGCCACCAUGCCUGGCUAAUUUCUGUAUUUUUAGUACAGAGGAGAUUUCACCAUGGUGGCCAGGCUGGUCUCGAACUCCUGACCUCAGGUGAUCUGCCUGGCUCAGCCUCCCAAAGUGCUGGGAUUAUAGGUGUGAGCCUCCAGGCCUGAUGGAAAGAUUUUAUCAAGGCCACACAUCCGGUGAAAGGAGAGCCAGGGCUCCACCCCUGCUGCCUGACUCCAGGCUCUGCCCAGCUACCCAGGAAGUGAUAACCUCUCCUAGGGAAAUGCAAGUUGACUUAAAGAGCCAUCCAGGGAGGCUGAGGUGGAAGAGCACAAACAGCACGGUGGAGCUACAGUAGGUGCAGACUCGCAGGACCCACAGUGGGGCUGAAACAGAAGAGAAGAGAGACAACGUGUCCUCCACUAUUGACAAUGGUAAGGAACGCCUCAAGGUGACAUGUCUUUCUAUGACAGCCUUCCUUGAAAGAAGAAAUUCCUGUCUAGAAAACGUAAUAAAAAGAGGAUUAAAGGUAAGUUGAGGGAAAUGUUGCAUUUUGAUAUUUACCAAUAAACAAGCUUUCAUGGGGCUGACACAGCAACAAGGCUCAGGAUUAUACACGCAGGCAGUUUAUGAGUGCCUCUUCCCAUUCAGAAUCCUCAAAAGUGUGUAAUUCAAAUUCAGUGACUUAACGGAUGGUGAAUAAAUAUAGACCUGGAACUCAGCGCCCAGUGGAAGCCUGCUAAGAACUGGAGAGAUGCAAAUGAAAUUGUUUUGCUUUUCAUCACCCGUUGUGACUUCUUUUUUUGUUUGUUUGUUUGUUUUAGACAGAGUCUCACUCUGUCACCCAGGCUGGAGUACAGUGGCCUGAUCUUGGCUCACUGCAACCUCCACCUCCCGGGCUCAAGCGAUUCUCCGGCCUCAGCCUCCUGAGUAGCUGGGAUUUACAGGCAUGUGCCACUGCGCCCGGCUAAUUUUUGUAUUUUUAGUAGAGACAGGGUUUCAUCAUGUUUCCCAGGCUGGUCUUGAACUCCUGACCUCAGGUGAUCCAUCCACCUCAACCUCCCAAAGUGCUGGGAUUACAGGCGUGAGCCACCGUGCCCGGCCUCCUGUUGUGACUUCUGACAUAUGGUAUCCUACACCUGACAUGCUUGGCGAGGAUUACUUCCUGAGGAAAACAGGUCUUCCAUUUGGGUGUGAGCCCGGGGACACUUCAGGACCCUGUGACCCCUCAGCCUCCCAAGAGAGGAACUGAGCUUGGGGGCUGGGGGUGUCAGCAAAAACAAACAUGCUGUUCUCGUGGGAAGCUUUGGUGGACCAAGCACAAUCAUCAGACCCAUCUCCAGAACCAUCCUUGAGGCUCAUGUCUUCUUGCUGCUUUUCCACUGGAAUUCAAACUUUUAAAGCACAGGAAUAAAUUGUGGACAGAGAAUUCCUUUUUUAUAAGUACUGAGAGCAUAACAAGGCACAUCUUCCGGAGAUGUAACAGUGCGUAGCCGCAGCAGCUCUAUGGGCAGAGAGCCCUCAGACCCUGCAGCAAAGGACACUGUGCUCUGCCUGGAUUCCUCAGCACCUGGGUGAGCUGCCCGCCCUUGGUCUCCCCCCAUAGUGGGCCUUACACCAGUGCCCAUCCCUCUCCAGGCACAGACCUUGUGGGAGGGACGCCCGGACAUCCCAGCUAGCAUCGGUGUCGGGGACAGUCCUGGUGGUCCUCAGUGAGGAGCCCAGAGGGGCAGAAGGUCAUGAGAGAGAAAGAGAAGAGCAGCAGGAUGGGGUGGCGGAUAUGGGGUGCUGGGGACCGGGUGAAUUCUCAGAUCAUCCACUGACACAGCCAUGCAUCACAGGGCCAUGGAUGCCUCCGUCCAUGCUGCCAUUUCCACUGGCCUUUCCCACAGGGGAGCCCGGGGGCCCGUGUGACCGUGAGAGGGGGUUGUGUCUGGUGGGUUGAGCUCAGAGCACGCUGGGGAAGCUGCACCCUCGUCUUCUUUCACCUGCAGCCAGGACAUUUUCUGAGGCCUCUGAGGCUGCUGGCCAGGCCAGGGAGGUUUCUGCAGAGCAGGGCAGAGAGCGCCUGGCUCCGGUGAGAAAGGGGCUGUCAGGCCAGGCGCAGUGGCUUACACCUGUAAUCCCAGCACUUUGGGAAGCCAAGACAGGUGGAUCACCUGAGGUUGGGAGUUCCCGACCAGCCUGACCAACAUGGAGAAACCCCCAUCUCUACUAAAAAUACAAAAUUAGCCGGGUGUGGUGGUGUAUGCCUAUAAUCCCAGCUACUCUGGAGGCUGAGGGAGAAGAAUCGCUUGAACCUGGGAGGCAAAAGUUGCAGUGAGUCGAGAUCACGCCAUUGCACCCCAGCCUAGGCAACAAGAGUGAAAGUCCAUCUCAAAAAAAAAAAAAAAAAAGAAAACACAAAAAGAAAGGAGCUGUCAGGCAGGUGGCCAGGCCAGGGAGGUUUCUGCAGAGCAGGGCAGAGAGCCCCUGGCUCGGGUGAGAAAGGGGCUGUCAGGCAGGUGGCCAGGCCAGGGAGGUUUCUGCAGAGCAGGGCAGAGAGCCCCUGGCUCGGGUGAGAAAGGGGCUGUCAGGCAGGUGGCCAGCAGCCCUGAGCCUGGAGAUGGGGAUUCAGGAGCCCACCUGCUGCUCGGCUCAGAGCUGAGAGGAGAAACAGCCCAGAGGAACAGCGGCCUCCCCCAUCCCAGCUCACGCAGAAAUGCAUUGGAAUGUCAGGAAAUUGUGUGUAUUUGAUGUAUUUUACCUGUUGCCUAGAGAGCCCACACAGUGACGCAGGUGCCUGUUUACAUUGGCUGAUUGCCCGGACUUUGGAAAUGCAAUUAUCCCCCACCACCCCCUCAGCCACUUUCUCCAGCGGACUAGGAGGGGCUGAGUGGUGCAGCCUCUGUGAAAUGCUUGGCCCAGGAGAAAGCAAUUCCAACGGGGCUGUGACAGCUGAGGGGGAAGGUGUGGCUGCGCAGAGCCCAUCAGGGCUUGUUACUGGAAGGAGAGGGAACAAAUGCCAGGCAGGCAAAAUGACCCAGGACCGGCGACCACAGGCCCCUGUGGCUUCAGCAAAUGCAGCUGCUUCCAUUUGGCUGCAGACAGAAGCUGGAUGCACGUCUGUGACCAGAAAUGGACCUGCCCCUUGGUGUCCAUGACAACAGCCCCUCAAAAGCAGUUCUGAACUAAUCCUACCUGGCCCAGGUGUGGCUGCGGUGAGACGUGCAUGGCAUGCGGGUGCCCCACGCUGGGACAAUCCCUUUGUUGAAUCACAGAAGAUGAAUUAAGACAACAUGCUUGGAGGUGCCCUGGGGACACAGAGGAAUUAAGGAUGAAAAUCGCCAAAGCCAGGCUGGAGAAAUUAAUUUCAGUUGUGAGCACACGGUCCAGGAGGACUUAUUAAAGCUGAAUGGAAAUUAAAUCCUGACAUUCCAGGAGGGCACUAAAGCACCUAAUGAGAAAGAGGGGACACACACAGCCAGGCAGCACUAACAUGAGCUGCAGGUAACCAGGUGCAGGGCGGUGUGGCCUGGGUCCUAGACCGGUGGACAGCCAUGCCGGACAACUUCUCCUGGCUGACUAAAGUCCCAGCCAUGCCCAAUCUGUACCACCUGUCCUGACUCACGUCUCACCGCUUAACAAACCACCCAAAAAAUGCUGUCACUUCAAACAAAAUCAGUAAUCCAUCAUUUCUCACAAUUCUGUGGUCAGGAUCUUGGGCAGGGCCCAGCUGGGUGGCUCUUCUGCUGUGGCGUUGCCUGGGUUCACUUCCUCAGUUGCAUCCUGCUGGUGGCUCGGCUGAGCUGGAAGAUUCUGGAAGGAUUUUACAUGCCUGCCAACAUUGUUUUCAGGAUGAUUAAAAAUAGCCUGUCUAAUCCAUCAUCAAGGCCUCAACAGUUACCAUGGAGACCACUUUAUUACCAAGAGGAGAAUUCAGGGGAAGCAUCUGUCAAAUGAGCGAAGGCUGUCAGGCGUUGACUUCUCCUCCAUCUGAGAGAUGGCUCUGAUCCUCAGGGCUGGGCUGUCUUUUCAUGAAGUGGGAGCGGCCACACCUUGGUGAUGGAUCAGGAUCACCCUGCGCCUGAACCUGAGGCUUUAAUUAAACUUCUCAAAUCUCCACCCUGUGCCACCCUCUGCCCUUCACUCUCCUUGGGCUCAGCUGGAAGGAAGCAAGAUUUGAGACACUGAAAAAUACAGUGUUUGAUUUGCUAAUUCCCAAGAAAAGGGAGUUGAGAGAAAUUUAUGUUCAGGGCUUUAGGAAGCCUGGGUGUUGGCUCCGUCCUAAUGCCUGAAACUCACUGCACCCCUGAGGGAGCAGCAGGUUUCCUCCUGCGAAUGACUGCGAUCUCUCAACUAAACUCCACCCAGGAAACCUGUGUUCACGUGAGGCAGGCGAGAGAAUAAUGGCUCAGAGACCCAGCAGAAGCCCCUGCUGACCUUGGGGUGUCCUCUAGCACCUGACAGAGGACACACCUGGAGGACCACGUGGCACUGCCGGCCCAGACUUAAAACAUGGAAUUAAUCCCCAAUAGGUAAAAAGUGGGAGAUUUCCAUGAAUUCACCAGUUCACACAUCAUUUAUUGCACCCUAGCUGAGCUGGGCACUGCUGUGGGUGCUGGGGAUAGACGCUCGGGGAACAGAGACCCUGCCUGCGUGCAGACCCCCUUCGUGGGCCCACGUGCAAGCCGGAUCCCUGAACGGAUCCAACAGCCUGGGCAGCUGGCACGGGGCUCUCCUUGCUGCAGCAUCUGUGGGUGAAGCCGCUGCUCCCUUUCCUGUGGGGACUCUCCGCGCCACAGUCCCCACCACGCCCUAUCACUGCCACGCUGGGGCUGAUGCCACUUACUGUUUGUCACCACAUUGGGUGACGCUUCCUCAGAAUGGACCAACAGGGAAAGGGAAGAGCUUUUGUUUUGUUUUGUUUUGUUUUUAAUGCUUACCAAAAAUAGGAAAACAGAAGACAGACCAUGGGGACUGAGUGUUUCCAGAACCCCUGGACGAACAUUUCCAUACGGUUGUGGAAAAUUCGCGGUUGAAAGUCCAAACUCCAAGAGCGGGUUGGCCUGGGCUCUCCCUCAGCCUCAUCCUGGCUGGAGGAUCAAGCAGCUUCCUGUGUCUCGGACCCUCAGGUUCCUCGUCUGUGAAGUGGGGAUGAGAACAGCACCUGCCACUUCUGGCUCUUUUUUAAAACCAAUUUUAAUAGAGAUGGGGCCUCACUAUGUUGCCCAGGCUGGUCUCAAACUCCUGGGCUCAAGCAAUCCACCCAUCUCGGCCUCCCAAAGUGCUGGGAUUACAGGGGUGAGCCACCGCAUCCGGCCCCUUUUCUGGCUCUUACGAGGGUUGAGUGAGCCUGUACACCUGAAGAAUAUAGAUUGUUAAGUUUCUGCCUCAUCAUUAUCAUUUUAACAUGCAAAUAAAAUCCCAUCCUGGCCCCCGGUGGUGUUUGAUUUUUCAACCCCUGUGAGUGGGCAUCAGACUCAGAGCUUUGGGCAGACGAGGCCUUAGCUAGUUGUGAAUAACAUCAUUUUGUCUUCAUUUCACGUUCAAGCCACCUUCUGCUUAUGGUAAGUGAGAAUGAUUUUCUGCUUAUGGUGGUGAAAUAUGUUUCCUCUUUAGAGGAAUUUAGUGAAGUGAAAGUGAGAUGAUUUAAAGAAAAACGUGGAAUAAGUAAUGUGUAUGGAACAUGGAAGGUGGGAAGUGAAGACUGGAGUUUGAGGAGCCAAGAACGAGUCCAAUUUCCUCAUUUUAUGAGUGAGGAAACUGAGGCCUGGAGAAGGGACAGGACUCACCCAGGGCCACAGAGUGAGGCUAAGGCAGAGGCAAGACCGGAAUCCAGGUUGCUGUCCCCAGACUCAAAGUGUGUGGCUGGUCACUGCUGAUGGCUCACCCACCAGGGACAGGAGGAGGAGGAGGUGAGGAGGAGGAGGAGGGGAGGAGGAGGAGGAAGAGCAAGAGGAAGAGGAGGAGGGGAGGAAGAGGGGAGGAUGAGGAGAAGAGGAGGAAGAGGAGGAGGAGAAGGAGGAAGAGGAAGAGGAGGAAGAAGAGCAACAGGAAGAGGAGGCGGAGGGGAGGAGGAGGAGGGGAGGAGGAGGAGCCGUGUGACAUCUGUGGGUAAUGAGGCCCCGGCAUGGCCUCGUCCUCUGGGGAAAGCCCGUGGGAUCCUCUCGGGGCCCAUUCACCUCUGCUGGGCCCAUGAAGAGGGGUCUGCACGUGGGCUGGGUCUUUGUUUCCCGAGUGGCUGUCACACAACAAUGGCAGGUUUUAGUAGCUGCAUCAGAGCCUGUGUGCCCUGAAAAGAUGUUUGCAGGCCUCACGGGCUCUGGGUCUUGACGGAAGAUGUUUGCUGGCCCAGCUCUUCCCUGUGGGGCCCUGGCGUCACCUGUGUCCUUGCUCCCCCAUCCUGAACGGUGGCCGCUGGGCAAAGGCCACACCAGAGCCGGCUUUUCCCCAUCGCAGAUCAGCUGACGGGGCUUCUGUGGGCCUACUCCUGGCUCCCUGUUUCAUCCCAGUGGUCUGUCUGUCUGUUCUUGCACUGAUACCACUCUGUCGCGAUUACUGUCGUUUUAAGAUAAGGCUUGAAGUUAGGUAUGUGGGUUCUCCAACUCUGUUCUUCCUCACGGUGUUGGCUGUUCGAGGACUUUCGCCUUUCCAUAGAACGUCAGACUCAGUUGACAUAAUCUGCAGAAUGCCUUCCUGGGCUUGGCUGGGAUUGCAGUGAGUCACCUCUUGGUUUUAAUAUCCAAAAUUCAUAGAAUGUGCAGAUGUCUCCUUGAAAAAAUGGCUGAUUACAUAAGAAUGAAUCCAACUCCCAUUAACAAAUCUUAAUAUACGUGUAAAAAAACAAUAUCCAGGAACAAAUCAAGUGACUUCCGAAUAUGCCUGUGGUGAUCACGUAGACCUGUGUUGAAAAGUGCACCAGAUGCCAGCAGGGGCUGAGGGUCGCUCACCCGCACUGACGCGAGCUGCUGGGCAGGGGGCUCCAUCCGCGCACAGGUGGCGGUCAGCUGACAACCCUGUUGAUCAUGUAUUUGCCCAUCAAGAAGGGACCCUGUCAGUAUUGUGCACCCUGACAUGAUAGCUGGAUCUUCAUAUGUAAGCAUUUUCCUGUGCUUUAACUGUUUUAGGGGAUUGAGCAGAAAUUUUAGGACGAAGUGUUGUAAUUUUUUCCAUUUGAAAUAAUGAAAAAUGUGUCCUUGGGUGGUGGUUUCAUGCACCGAUUCUGACUUUUUGCAACAGGAUCCUGGUGAUGAGAGAAAGCUCCCUGUCCUCUUACUGGUUCUGAUGGGUCAGACAUGGACUCCGGGAAUGGAGGGGCAGGGUUAGUUCCUCCUAAACCACGGGAACUGCAGUGUCAGCGGAUCUGACUGAUUACCCAAAAGAACACGGGGGUUCGUUUAGCAAGAGGAUGGGAAAUGGAUACUGAAAAGCAAAAUAACAGAUUUUAGAAAAAAGUUGUCUAUCCAAGAGCUAAAUAUGUGACACAUCAAUGUGUUCAAUGUCCUUACAUAUUAUACAUAAGACAUCUGUGUACAGAUAGGAAGGCAGGACAGGUCUGAGCACCUCCCGCCACCUCUCCCCUCCCGGCUCAGGAGAGCUGCUGAUGGCUGCAGCCAGCCCGGCCCCCCGCCCUCACCUGCCCCUCAGUGAUAAGAGGCCCCAGGCUUCCUCCCCCUCCAACUGUUUCCUGUCCUCUGGCUGCCUCUUCCCGGCCCAUAAACAUGCCCGGGGCACAUCAAUGUUGAAAAGGGCCAUUUCUCUGCUGUCCUCAUCCCUGAGCUACAGGAUACACCUUGUUUCCCACCCACAGAGAAUCUUCUAGGGAAAUUAGUGCACAGGAUAAGCUUUCAAAAGAUUAUCGGGAGUGUUUUCAGCCCAGUGUUUCCUGUGACCGUGUGGCCCGCCCCUCCAGAGUGAUCUGUGUCCUGGGGCUCAGGGCAGACACGGGUCCUCCCUGCCCACAGUCCCCGCCUCCUCCUGAUGGAGCAGGCCCAUCUGCUGGGAGCACUACCCACGGGGGGGCAUACUUAGAGUAACAAUCAUUCCUGUUUAUCUGAAAUUCAAAUCUGCCUGGAAAUUUAUUUGCUGGAGGGAUCAGCUGUGUUUCCAGGGGCACUUUGCUCCCUUGGUGCCUGUGAGGGGGUUUCUCCUUCCAGAAGAAGUCUCUGUAACCAGCGCUCCCACUUUCCAGGGUCUCCUCACAGCUCAGGGUCUGGGUGGUCCCUGUGGCCUGCAGGGCGGGCUGUUCUCUGUCCCUCCAGCAGGGACAGCGGCUGCAGGUGGGUCUGCAGGGAGGCCGGGUCCCACCAGGUGGAGGCCAGAGCUGGGUCAUUCAGUUCUCUCUGCUCUUGUCCUGACACCCUGAUGUCAGCUCGGGAAAGAGGGGCCCCUUUGCCUUGGCCACUCCUUGGGGCACAGGCCUCCCUCCCCACCCCACCCCAGCAGUGGAGGCCAGAGCUGCAGGGACACCUGCUUCCCUCACAGGCUGGCCUCACAGCCUAGCCCUGAGAAUGUUGAUUUGCCUUGUUGGCUGAAAGUGUGUCCAGAAUUUGUGGGUUCUUGGUCUCACUGACUUCAAGAAUGAAGCCAUGGACCCUCACAGUGAGUGUUACAGCUCUUAAGGUGGCGUGUCUGGAGUCUGUCCCUUCUGAUGUUCGGAUGUGUUCGGAGUUUCUUCCUUCUGGUGGGUUCGUGGUCUCACUGGCUCAGGAGUGAAGCUGCAGACCUUCGCGGUGAGUGUUACAGCUCUUAAGGCAGUGCGUCUGGAGUUGUUCAUUCUUCCCAGUGGGCUCGUGGUCUCGCUGGCUCAGGAGUGAAGCUGCAGACCUUCGUGGUGAGUGUUACAGCUCAUAAAAGCAGCGUGGACCCACAGAGUGAGCAGCAGCAAGAUUUAUUGCAAAGAGCGAAAAAACAAAGCUUCCACAGUGUGGAAGGGGACCCGAGAGGGUUGCCACUGCUGGCUCGGGCAGCCUGCUUUUAUUCCCUUAUCUGGCCCCACCCUGCUUUUAUUCUCUUAUCUACCAUCCUGCUGAUUGGUAGAGCCGAGUGGCCUGUUUUAACAGGGCGCUGAUUGGUGCAUUUACAAUCCCUGAGCUAGACAUAAAGGUUCUCCACAUCCCCACUAGAUUAACUAGAUACAGAGUGUUGACAGAAAGAUUCUCCAAGGCCCCCACCAGAGUAGCUAGAUGCAGUGUCGAUUGGUGUAUUUACAAUCCCUGAGCUAGACACAGGGGGCUGAUUGGUGUGUUUACAAACCUUGAGCUAGAUACAGAGUGCCGAUUGGCAUAUUUACAAUCCCUGAGCUAGACAUAAAGGUUCUCCACGUCCUCACCAGAGUAGCUAGAUACAGAGUGCUGACUGGCAUAUUUACAAUCCCUGAGCUAGACAUAAAGGUUCUCCAAGGCCCCACCAGAGCAGCUAGAUACAGUGUGGAUUGGUGCACUCACAAACCCUGAGCUAGACACAGGGGGCUGAUUGGUGUGUUUACAAACCUUGAGCUAGAUACAGAGUGCCAAUUGGUGUAUUUACAAUCCCUGAGCUAGACAUAAAGGUUCUCCAAUGCCCCACCAGACUCCGGAGCCCAGCUGGCUUCACCCAGUGGAUCCCGCACCGGGGCUGCAGGUGGAGCUGCCUGCCAGUCCCGCGCCAUGCGCUCGCACUCCUCAGCCCUUGGGUGGUCGAUGGGACUGGGCGCCGUGGAGCAGGGGGUGGUGCUCGUCGGGGAGGCUCGGGCCGCACAGGAGCCCAUGGAGGGGGUGGGAGGCUCAGGCAUGGCGGGCUGCAGGUCCCGAGCCCUGCCCCGAGGGGAGGCAGCUAAGGCCCGGCGAGAAAUCGAGCGCAGCGCUGGUGGGCUGGCACUGCUGGGGGACCCAGUACACCCUCCGCAGCCACUGGCCCGGGUGCUAAGUCCCUCAUUGCCCGGGGCCAGCAGGGCCGGCCGGCUGCUCCGAGUGCGGGGCCCACCAAGUCCACCCUCACCCGGAACUCCAGCUGGCCCGCAAGCGCCACACGCAGCACCGGUUCCCACUCCCGCCUCUCCCCCCACACCUCCCUGCAAGCUGAGGGAGUGGGCUCCGGCCUUGGCCAGCCCAGAAAGGGGCUCCCACAGUGCAGCGGUGGGCUGAAGGACUCCUCAAGUGCUGCCAAAGUGGGAGCCCAGGCAGAGGAGGCGUGGAGAGCGAGCAAGGGCUGUGAGGACUGCCAGCAUGCUGUCACCCCUCAAAAGUGCAGAAUGGCCUGGUGUAUUAGUCUGUUUUCAUACUGCUAAUAAAGUCAUACCUGAGGCUGGGAAGAAAAGGAGGUUUAAUUUGACUUUCAGUCCACAUGACUGGGGAGGUCUCACAAUCAUGGCGGAGGGCGAAAGCCACUUCUUCCACAGUGGCGGCAAGAGAGAAUCAGGAAGAAACAAAAGCAGAAACCCCUGAUAAACCCAUCAGAUCUCAUGAGACUUAUUCACUAUCAUGAGAAUAGCACAGGAAAGACUGGCCCCCAUGAUUCAAUUACCUCCACGGAGUCCCUCUCACAACAUGUGGGAAUUCUGCGAGAUACGGUUUAAGUUGAGAUUUGGGUGGGGACACAGACAAACCAUAUCACCUGGGUUUGAUCUUGGCACUGAGGGUCUCUGUGAGCUUGAACUCCUCUCCCCAGGAGGGGAUGGGCAUGGCUGGUGCAUUUUACGGCCAUGGCAGGCUGAUGGAACCAAUUUAACAGCUGGCUCAUAAAAACCCUCAGAUGUGAGAGUCGGCUCCCACAGGCUGCUGUGGGACAGAUACAGCUCCCUGAUAACCUUCUAGGACCUGCCUGAGCUGGGGGGAGGAGAGGAAUCCCGACCCCAGGGGCCUGGACACCAGGGGGACUCCACUCAGAUCCUCUGGCCCUGAGCAUUCCCAGGACCCCCUCUUGGGCUUCUGUGUUCUUCUCUCUCCAGGGCUGGCUCCUGACACUCCUCUUUGGACAACUGUCCUUAGGCCACUGAGCCCAACCGGCCCCACUGCAGUGAGCUGGAGUGGCCUGGGGGCCAGCCAUGCUGAAGCUGCCUCCUCCCAGCUUGUGGGAUAUGAUUUUGGUGUUUACAGUUUUCAGGAAUUAUAUAAACCAGGUAUGACACAGGCUGAACGUCAGUCAUAGUGAAAUUAUUCACAUCCCAGGAAGCUGGCAGGGGCUGUGCUGCUGCUGCCCCUGGGAGCGAGUUGUUCCACACUCAGCAGCUCGCUGGCUCUCAUCCUCCCCACCUAGCGAGGCCUUGACCAGUGACAGGGGUGUGGGAGCCUCCAACAGGGUGGCUGAGGCUGGGUUCACGCUCCAGGGCGCCCCUGCAGGACCACAAGGAAGCCAUUGCAGUCAGGAGACCUGGUGCUCACAGCUUUGCUUGCCCUGACCCCAUCCCUGUCCCGGCUCCCUCCCGGCCCUCCCUUCAUGCACCACCUGUUCCUGAGUCCUCAUCCCAGGAUCUGCUUCUGGGGACCAGGCCUGAUAGGCUCCAAAGCUCUGCUCUUAACCAGCACCGCAGCUGGAGGAAAAGCAGGAGGCAUUUGGCUGUUGAUGAUCAUGACAUUUUCAUUAUACUGUGUGGUUUGGGUUUAUUUUACCCAAGGAGCACAGUCCACAGAAAAUAGAACAUUUCAGGAAUACCAACCAAGCUAAGUAACAUGUUCACAUGAUAUUUAUUAAAACUGUGAUGAAACCGGCUCCACAAACCAUUGAUAGAAGAUGGGCUGUGUAAAACCGGUACUGGGAAAACGGGUUGUCUGUGUGGAGGAAAGUAAGACUGAAUCGCUAACCAAUACUGCAAACAAAGAUGGAGUCUAGAUGGAUUAAAAACCUGAAUAUGAAAAGAGAGAAAAUACGAAAACAUAUAGAGUCUUUGGGAACUUGUGCCUGGGAACAAUUUUUUAAACACAUUUGGAAAGCAUAAACCAUAGAAAAAUGAUUAGUUUUGUCACAUCAAAACAAAGGAUGCCUGCUUAAUGAAGAAGACCAUGAACAAAAUCAUUAGACGACUGGCAAAAUGGGAAAAGAGAUUUGCAAAGUUUAAAACUGGAACGUGAUCAGUGUGUCAAAUAUACAAUGUAACUUUGUAAAUCAACAAGGAAACAAGGAGAAAUCCCAAAGAAUGGACAGAGCGAUGUGAGCAGGCAACACCCAGGAGAGGAAAUCCCAACAGGCCAAGAUGCCACACCCAGGCUGUCUCCUGUCACUCCUGGCGGUGAUUAGGAAGCUGGCGGCUCCCAGCCUGGGCAGGGACGCAGGGAUGUCCUGCAGGUGGGGGUGGACGGAGGGCCCUGGACCCAGCGGUCCCACCUCAAGUAGACACCCAGGGAGGUGCUGACCCAGGCCCACAGAUGACCUCUGAGGCCCACAGAUGACCUCUGAGCCUGUCUGUGGGGGCCGGGAGGGGCACAGGACCUGGGUGGGUGUCCCUGGGAGAACAGAGAGGAAAAUGGGGUGGGCGCACACGGAGAACCAUGCAGCAAUGAGACAGCAUGAGCUGGUGCACACGGAGCGAUAUGAGAGCAUCUUUAAAACAUGAUUAUUUGUAAAAGUUUACAAAUACACAGAAUGAAAUUAAUCACAUGAGACCAUUGACGUUCAUGCCCGGAAACAGCAACGGGCACUCUCCAAGAACACGUCCCAAUAAAAAGAUCGUCAUUA